CUUUUGUGGCAGUGUCACUUGAGGUAAGGCUGCUUCACUUCAACUGGGCUAGAAGAGAACAGAGUGUAUACUGUGUCCCUAUACUCUAGUUGAUGUGCUCUUGUGCCCUCUGGAGGCGUGGGAUGGGUUUACCAAAGAUGGUUCAGUACAUGCCCCAGAAGUUAUUGGUUCAGGUCUUCUGGCCCCGUUACAAUAAUACUUGAAAAGGGCAUCAUACAUUUCCCCCUUCCUUGAAAGAAUCACAUUCAUAUAAGUUCAGUUGUUAUCAUCAUAGACUGUAUUUGGUUCAUAUUCUGAUAUAUUCGAAAGAAGGGAUAUUCCUCUGCUGUGUGGUCAAUGACCCAUGUCAAUUUCCCAUGUCAAUUUCCCAUGUCAAUUUCCCAUGUCAAUGCCCCAAGUCAAUGCCCCAUGUCAAUGCCCCAUGUCAAUGCCCCAUGUCAAUGACCCAUGUCGUAGCGUCUCCCUUUCCCAAGAGGUCAGUAAUAAGAGCUGUGACUGACCAAAACAAAAUGCCUCUGCACAUCUGCUACACAUCUGCUACAAGAUCAGAGUAGUGCAGAAGGUGUCUUAAGCUGAGGCAAAGAAGACAAAACGAGGAAGAUUGGUAAGGUUGGCUCCUUAGUGUUCAUAGAGAGUGAUAGGAAUAACAAGCGUUUCAGUAAGGUUAGCUCCUUAGCGUUCAUAGCCAUGGUUAUCAACUGUAAUGGAAUCACAGAGAAUAGAUGUGUUGGCAGCUGAUGAAAAGUACUGGGGUUACGAGAUUGGACUGCAGAAGAGUUACAAGGUGUUUUGAACGAGAAGAUGUCGGCCUGGUGUAGGAUCAGAUCGGGUCAAGUAGAGGAAUAGUGGUGAGAUUUGAAUAGGUGUAGGGUUAGUUGGUAUAGUGGUGUAGGGUUAGUUGGUAUAGCAGUGAGGUGUUAAUGGGUGUAGGGUUAGUUGGUAUAGCAGUGAGGUGUUAAUGGGUGUAGGGUUAGUUGGUAUAGCAGUGAGGUGUUAAUGGGUGUAGGGUUAGUUGGUAUAGCAGUGAGGUGUUAAUGGGUGUAGGGUUAGUUGGUAUAGCAGUGAGGUGUUAAUGGGUGUAGGGUUAGUUGGUAUAGCAGUGAGGUGUUAAUGGGUGUAGGGUUAGUUGGUAUAGCAGUGAGGUGUUAAUGGGUGUAGGGUUACUUGGUAUAGCAGUGAGGUGUUAAUGGGUGUAGGGUUAGUGUCACGCCCUGGUCAAAGUAUUUUGUGUUUUUCUUCAUGUAUUGGGUCAGGCCAGGGUGUGGCAUGGGGUUUUUGUAUUGUGGUGUGUUUUGUCUUGGGGUUUUGGUGUGUAUGUAUUGGGAUUGUAGCUAGUGGGGUUAUCUAGCAAAGUCUAUGGCUGUCUGGAGUGGUUCUCAAUCAGAGGCAGGUGUUUAUCGUUGUCUCUGAUUGGGAACCAUAUUUAGGCAGCCAUAUUCUUUGAGUUUGUUGUGGGUGAUUGUCCUAUGUGUCCUUGUUCCUGGCUCUGUGUUAGUUUACACCAGUAGAGGCUGUUUUCGUUACGCUCUUUGUUUUGUAGUGUUGAAUAUUGAUUUGUGUUUUACGUUUGUUCAUUAAACAUGGAUCGCAAUCUACACGCCGCAUUUUGGUCCGACUCUCCUUCACACCUAGAAAACCGUAACAAUUAGUUGGUAUAGUGGUGAGGUUUUAAUGGGUGUAGGGUUAGUUGGUAUAGUGGUGAGGUUUUAAUGGGUGUAGGGUUAGUUGGUAUAGUGGUGAGGUUUUAAUGGGUGUAGGGUUAGUUGGUAUAGUGGUGUAGGGUUAGUUGGUAUAGUGGUGAGGUGUUAAUGGGUGUAGGGUUAGUUGGUAUAGCAGUGAGGUUUUAAUGGGUGUAGGGUUAGUUGGUAUAGCAGUGAGGUUUUAAUGGGUGUAGGGUUAGUUGGUAUAGUGGUGUAGGGUUAGUUGGUGUAGGGUUAGUUGGUAUAGCAGUGAGGUUUUAAUGGGUGUAGGGUUAGUUGGUAUAGCAGUGAGGUUUUAAUGGGUGUAGGGUUAGUUGGUAUAGUGGUGUGGUGUUAAUGGGUGUAGGGUUAGUUGGUAUAGUGGUGUGGUGUUAAUGGGUGUCGGGUUAGUUGGUAUAGCAGUGAGGUGUUAAUGGGUGUAGGGUUAGUUGGUAUAGUGGUGUAGGGUUAGUUGGUAUAGUGGUGUAGGGUUAGUUGGUGUAGGGUUAGUUGGUAUAGCAGUGAGGUGUUAAUGGGUGUAGGGUUAGUUUGUAUAGCAGUGAGGUGUUAAUGGGUGUAGGGUUAGUUGGUAUAGUGGUGAGG
ensembl:lncRNA